AGUAGUUUAGCUUAAUUGGUAAAGCACUUGACCUGUAAUCAAAGGGAUGUGAGUUCGAGUCUCAUGGCUGGUU
rfam:Octopus bimaculoides Scaffold36303_contig_94, whole genome shotgun sequence.